AGAAUGAAACAAAGGAACAGUGCUGAAGGAAGUUAAAUCCGACAGAAUAUUAACAACAAGCCUGAACUUAUUCGUCAGUGUUCUCUCAGGUUAUACCGAAGUAGAACUUUAUAGCAUCAGUGAAAUAGACGAAGGAUUCAUUUGAAGAAAAUUUUGAAAAAUCUGAAGAAUCAGUCAUUUUGACGGUAAGUUUAUUAUACGUUUGCAGUUUGCACAUGCAUAGAAUGAAGAAAAGUGCAUGUAACUGCGCUGGUGAUUCGAUUGCAACUGGCAAUCUUUGAUUACGUGAUAGCACAACCUCCGAGGAGCCAAACACAACAUCGAAACAUUCAUCUUCUCUAUAGAUUUCGCCUUUCGCCAUGAAAAUCUUCGCUUUCACGAUCGUGUUGCUCCUUAUCGUGUCUUUUCAACAAACAGAAGCUGUCGCUCCGUUUUUCAGGAUCUUUCUGACACUGAGUUACACUGGUUACAAGUUGGUUAAGAGAUCGUAUUAUGCCAAAUGCAAUACGCGAAACGUUCCUGCUAACAUGAAUUGCCCUUCAGUCGUCUACGGAUUUGGCUUAAGCAGAAACGCGGCCCAAAACAGCGCAAGAAUCUACGCAGAAUUGAAAGGAGAUACAGGUUGUGGUCUUUAUGUCGGACAUUGCCAAACCAGGAAAUUCGUGAAAUGACGGCGUGGCUGAUGAAAAUGGAAAAGGUUUGAACUAAACUCUAGAAUGAAGAAUUACAUGACGAUAAUCGUAAUAAACGUUCAAUUUUGUCUUUGAUUUAUACUAAACCGUAUCAUGUAAAAGCAAUAAAAAAAUUUGUUUUGUCUGCAUUAUCUUGGUCUCAUCAGUUGUCAAGUUUAAUUAAAUGGACUUAUAUAUCGUCUAAACUCGAUUUCCAGCCGACCAUUUGGAACAAUUGGUUUUCAUCCAUACCUUGGAUUUUUAAGAUGCAUAUAUUCGAAACUGGUUUUAUUUUACAUCAUCUGAAAGCGACCACUCUCUCAGCGCAGGGGCCUUAUAUUCUGAUACAAAUUAGACGGAAUUAGUAAACGAUAGCAUCGCACAGCGGCAGGGUCCGGGGAGGAAAAACUGCCCUCUGGGUGACAUCAUAAAUAAUUAUCACAAUUGACAAACCAAUUUUAAUAUUUUAUGUAAUAAUUACAUAAUAAAUACAAUAAACAACUAAUAUAAUACACAAUCAGAAAGGAUAAAAAAUUAUGGAUCCAGUUGCUUUCUAAGUUAAUGGGAUUUCAGGAGUGCAGGUUUCUAAGUUUUUGGGCUGCUAUGUCUCUGGGUUUUUAAGUCUCUGAGGUUGUAGGUUUCAUGUUCUUUUGAAUUGAAACACCAACAUGGCGGUUGUGGCGGAAUGUGCAAACGCUCUAUACCUAAGUGAUUAUUCUCUUUUUAACACUAAAAGAAAAUAUAGAGAUGAAGAUAUAAAGAUACCAUCGUUUAUCAUUUUAAUAAUUCAAAAAACCUUUCCAUCUCGUACACAGAGUCCUUGUAUCAAAUCCGGUUCUUUCUAUUUCGAGUCCGGAUUUUCAAAAGUCAAAUCUGGGUUUUCUCAAAGACAAGUCCGUAUUUUUUUCGAGUCUGGGUCCGAGUCCGGGUUUCGAGGUAUGCCAUAUCGAAAGUAAACCAAAUGCCAACGGAAGUCUUGGUGCCGAAGGAUGAAACAAAGGAACAGUGUCAGUGCUGAAGGAAGUUAAAUCCGACACGAUAUUAACCACAAGCCUGAACUUAUUCGUCAGUAUUCUCUCAGUACAUCGAAGUAGAACUUUAUAGUAUCAGUGAAAUAGACGAAGAAUUCGUUUGAAGGAAAAUUUUGAAAAAUCUGAAGAAUUCAUUUUGACGGUAAGUUUAUUAUACGUUUGCACAUGCAUAGAAUGAAGAAAAGUGCAUGUAACUGCGCUGGUGAUUUGAUUGCAACUGGCAAUCUUUGGUUAUAACGUGAUAGCACAACCUCCGAGGAGCCAAACACAACAUCGAAACAUUCAUCUUCUCUUUAGAUUUCGCCUUUCGCCAUGAAAAUCUUCGCUUUCUCGAUCGUGUUUCUCCUUAUUGUAUCUCAUCAACAAACAGAGGCUGUGGCGCGGUUUUUCAGGGCUUUGGGGCACUGAGUUACAAGUUGAUUAGGGG
rnacentral:lncRNA from 1 species